AUGUUCAUUACCAAUUUCAUCUCAGAGCUGGAGGAGGAGAAGAAUCAAAUCCAGAACCGUGUGAUUAAUCUGGUGACUGCAGCACUGAGGAGAUGGAUUCCGGCUAUAGUUGGUUGCGCUAAGAUAAAUGUCGACGCCGUUGUUUCACGCGAAGUUGGUGCAACCGCUGCGGUGUGCAGGGACAACAACGGAGGAUACUUGGGGUCCUCGGUGUCUGUCAUUAGAGGGCUGAUAGAUCCGCCUACUCUUGAAGCUAUUGCAUGCAGGGAAGGAUUAUCUUUGGUGGAAGAUCUGGGGCUCCAGAACUUGGUGAUUGCGUCGGAUUGUCAAGAGGUGGUGAAGCAUAUCAAAGAUAAAACGGGUGGAAACUACGGUGGAGUAGUAAAAGAGAUAAUUUCAUGGCGAACUUCUUUUAAUUCCUGCCGUUUUAAGUUUGAAUCUAGAGUCUCAAAUUUUGAGCCUCAUAAAUUAGCUAGGCAUGCUGUAAAGUUAGUUCAUGGCCGCCAUAUCUGGUUGGGGCUACCACAUGAUACUUCUGUAAUACCGGUAGCAAUACCAACGAAUGAAUAA
rnacentral:rRNA from 1 species